GACGAACGCUGGCGGCGUGCUUAACACACGCAAGUCGAACGGAAAGGCCCGCUUGCGGGUACUCGAGUGGCGAACGGGUGAGUAACACGUGGGCAACCUGCCCUCAGCUUCGGGAUAGCACUUGGAAACAGGUGCUAAUACCGGAUAAUAACCUUUCAUCGCAUGGUGGUUGGUUCAAAGUUUUUCGGCUGAGGAUGGGCCCGCGGCCUAUCAGCUUGUUGGUGGGGUAAUGGCCUACCAAGGCGACGACGGGUAGCCGGCCUGAGAGGGCGACCGGCCACACUGGGACUGAGACACGGCCCAGACUCCUACGGGAGGCAGCAGUGGGGAAUAUUGCGCAAUGGGCGGAAGCCUGACGCAGCGACGCCGCGUGAGGGAUGACGGCCUUCGGGUUGUAAACCUCUUUCAGCUCCGACGAAGCGCAAGUGACGGUAGGAGCAGAAGAAGCACCGGCCAACUACGUGCCAGCAGCCGCAGUAA
rnacentral:rRNA from 1 species